rnacentral:rRNA from 1 species
CGGGGGGAGCAAGCGUUGUUCGGAUUUACUGGGCGUAAAGGGCGCGUAGGCGGCGCAACAAGUCACUUGUGAAAUCUCCGGGCUUAACCCGGAGCGGCCAAGUGAUACUGUCGUGCUAGAGUGCGGAAGGGGCUACUGGAAUUCUCGGUGUAGCGGUGAAAUGCGUAGAUAUCGAGAGGAACACCUGUGGCGAAGGCGGGUAGCUGGGCCGACACUGACGCUGAGGCGCGAAAGCUAGGGGAGCGAACGGGAUUAGAUACCCCGGUAGUCCUAGCCUUAAACGAUGGAUGCUUGGUGUCCGGGGUUACAUAGUCCCCGGGUGCCGUCGCUAACGCAUUAAGCAUCCCGCCUGGGGAGUACGGUCGCAAGACUG